GUGCACAUUUCAUUAUCUUAUUUUUUAAUUAACAAGAACAAAGAUAUUUUUGAUGUGCUAAACUAACCUGUGGAGGUAAAUUAGUAGCAUGGCUUAUUUAGCCAUUGCUGUCAGUCACCUUCAGCAUAG